rnacentral:rRNA from 1 species
GAUGAACGCUGGCGGCGUGCCUAAUACAUGCAAGUCGAGCGAACGGACGAGAAGCUUGCUUCUCUGAUGUUAGCGGCGGACGGGUGAGUAACACGUGGAUAACCUACCUAUAAGACUGGGAUAACUUCGGGAAACCGGAGCUAAUACCGGAUAAUAUUUUGAACCGCAUGGUUCAAAAGUAAAAGACGGUCUUGCUGUCACUUAUAGAUGGAUCCGCGCUGCAUUAGCUAGUUGGUAAGGUAACGGCUUACCAAGGCAACGAUGCAUAGCCGACCUGAGAGGGUGAUCGGCCACACUGGAACUGAGACACGGUCCAGACUCCUACGGGAGGCAGCAGUAGGGAAUCUUCCGCAAUGGGCGAAAGCCUGACGGAGCAACGCCGCGUGAGUGAUGAAGGUCUUCGGAUCGUAAAACUCUGUUAUUAGGGAAGAAUAUAUGUGUAAGUAACUGUGCACAUCUUGACGGUACCUAAUCAGAAAGCCACGGCUAACUACGUGCCAGCAGCCGCGGUAAUACGUAGGUGGCAAGCGUUAUCCGGAAUUAUUGGGCGUAAAGCGCGCGUAGGCGGUUUUUUAAGUCUGAUGUGAAAGCCCACGGCUCAACCGUGGAGGGUCAUUGGAAACUGGAAAACUUGAGUGCAGAAGAGGAAAGUGGAAUUCCAUGUGUAGCGGUGAAAUGCGCAGAGAUAUGGAGGAACACCAGUGGCGAAGGCGACUUCCUGGUCUGUAACUGACGCUGAUGUGCGAAAGCGUGGGGAUCAAACAGGAUUAGAUACCCUGGUAGUCCACGCCGUAAACGAUGAGUGCUAAGUGUUAGGGGGUUUCCGCCCCUUAGUGCUGCAGCUAACGCAUUAAGCACUCCGCCUGGGGAGUACGACCGCAAGGUUGAAACUCAAAGGAAUUGACGGGGACCCGCACAAGCGGUGGAGCAUGUGGUUUAAUUCGAAGCAACGCGAAGAACCUUACCAAAUCUUGACAUCCUUUGACAACUCUAGAGAUAGAGCCUUCCCCUUCGGGGGACAAAGUGACAGGUGGUGCAUGGUUGUCGUCAGCUCGUGUCGUGAGAUGUUGGGUUAAGUCCCGCAACGAGCGCAACCCUUAAGCUUAGUUGCCAUCAUUAAGUUGGGCACUCUAAGUUGACUGCCGGUGACAAACCGGAGGAAGGUGGGGAUGACGUCAAAUCAUCAUGCCCCUUAUGAUUUGGGCUACACACGUGCUACAAUGGACAAUACAAAGGGCAGCGAAACCGCGAGGUCAAGCAAAUCCCAUAAAGUUGUUCUCAGUUCGGAUUGUAGUCUGCAACUCGACUACAUGAAGCUGGAAUCGCUAGUAAUCGUAGAUCAGCAUGCUACGGUGAAUACGUUCCCGGGUCU